rnacentral:ncRNA from 12 species
CCGCCCCCGACGACAAGGUAGCCACAUGAGGCUGUCUUCCGUAACUUUGAGUACGGAUAGUCGGGGGUGUUUUA